AGCCUGAGCAUCGCGAUCCUGGCUAGCUGAGCAGCACUCGGACCACCUUGCCUCGCUAAACCCCAGGCUAACUGUGGCAGCCUCUUCUUCAGAGCUUCCUCGCUUACACCAGCUACGACCACCUAAUAUGAGAUCGAUCUGGAGGCGAAAAUUUACGAGUCGCAAAUGUACCUUUGCCACUGCAAGGCCGGCAGCAGCGACUCGACAGCUCUUUUCAUUGCCCAACACUGCAUGCAAAAGAGAUCCUAAUCGCGGCUCUAUCGCGAUCAGUGCUGAAGACGUUCGUAAAGCCGAUGCUACCCUCUCAAAGCCUCUGACACGAGCACGCCAGUCUUCCUGAAACGAGAUCAAAUUACGAUUAAUUGAAAGUUAAGGGGAAGGCGAUGUCAUUCGACAAGAAUCAGGAGUCGAGAAGCGAAUGUUAUCGAUCGUCGCAGCAAGUCUGAAUACAAUCUACCGGUAACAUCUGCAUUUGCUUUCCGAUUCGGCUCUAUUUACACGGAAGUGAUCGAUACUAUCGACUUUUCAUAGUUCCAAAGAACUCGUGGAGGAACUUCCUCAAGAGUCAACAGAAUAAAAAGAUCUACCAUGGCUUCGCAAUAUUUUGCAUUCUACUACAAGAUACUUUAUAAAUAAUUACCCCCGAAGAAGACACACCAAUUACAAGAAAGUACCAAUUACUUCAAGUACGUCAUACCCAAGACGUUAAUGAGACGUUAUUAAGUACAAACUUCGUUCCUCUCGUGUCUUCGCGUACAUUCGAAACGAUUACGAAAUGCAAAACACGGAUAUUAGGACUGGUUCGAAGACGCCUCGCGAGGUUCAAACGACGCUGGAAUCGCAAUGGAUUUGCAUAUACAUCGAAACGGCGAUUUAGUGGACCGACGUGGCACGCAACGCGUUCCUAAUUAUUUUCUUGCUACCCGCGGGCGGCACGCGUUUCGCCUCCGCGACUUCGGUGCAUAAUGUUCCAUAGGGAAAUCUCUCUCGUUUUUCAUCAGCGGAAUAUUCAUACUAAUCGCGAACGGGGACUGUUUCAGCGUCUCGGGGCCACGUGGAAAGCGAGACGCGGCAUGCAUUAUUCAAAUCGUCGCCGUUUCACUGCCACGAGGAUACGAACAUCGGGGAAAAUGUCUUCUGGAAGUGUGAUCAAUCUACUUAAUCAGUCGACGCAAUAAAAACACCGUCAGGCAAGGGGUGGUCCCUGAAAAAUUCCGCAAAUGAAGAACAUUAAUGAUAACGAGAAAUUAAAACGUCACGUUGACAUACGUUUCUCAGCAAAGAACAUGUUGCAGGUUCAAAGUAUGACAUUAAGUGACUUGCCUGUUAUAGUGUCUGCGACACAGGCAGGGGAGGAUUCGACCACUCAACACGUUGUUGGUCAGGUGAAUAAGCUUUACUCAACUGAUGUUAUUCAGUCGGUAAGAUGAAAAUAAGCUUUACUCGCAAUCAGAGUAGCUGUUCAGUCGGUAUGGAAACUCAUGCUUUACUCGCAAUUACACUGACUAUUCAGUCGGUAUGGUACACUCACGCUUUACUCACAAUCAGAGUAGCUGUUUAGUCGGU